rnacentral:rRNA from 1 species
GACGAACGCUGGCGGCGUGCUUAACACAUGCAAGUCGAACGGACAGGCCCUGCUUUUGUGGGGUGCUCGAGUGGCGAACGGGUGAGUAACACGUGAGUAACAUGCCCUUGUCUUUGGGAUAAAUCCAGGAGACUGGGGCUCAUACCGGGUAGGAGAUACUGAUGCAUGGGGGGGGUUGGAAAGAUUCGGCGGUUGGGGAUGGACUCGCGGCUUAUCAGCUUGUUGGUGGGGUAGUGGAUUACCAAGGCUUUGACGGGUAGCCGGCCUGAGAGGGUGACCGGCGACAUUGGGACUGAGAUACGGCCCAGACUCCUACGGGAGGCAGCAGUGGAGAAUAUUGCACAGUGGGCGGAAGCCUGAUGCAGCAACGCCGCGUGCGGGAUGACGGCCUUCGGGUUGUAAACCGCUUUCGCCUGUGACGAAGCGUGAGUGACGGUAAUGGGUAAAGAAGCACCGGCUAACUACGUG